UAACAUUACGAGGAUGGGUUUAGUUA
rnacentral:piRNA from 1 species